AAUACGAUUAAGGUAUUGCCAUGAUUUUUUUAGUACUCCCUCCGUCCCUAUUUAUCUGUCCACUUUGGAAGUAAAAAUUUGUCUCUAUUUAUCUGUCCAUUUAUACUUUCAAAACUAAUUUAAUGAUAGUUUUUCAAAUAUAUUAAAAAAAGACGGAGGGUGUAGUUAAUUUUCCAAUACUAAAGUACACCGCCUUGAGCAAAUUCGGUCUUAGCGCUAAAUCAUCUUCGCAACAAGAAAACGACGUGUUAUCUUUUAGUGACAAAUGCCUUCUUGUCAUCUGGAAGGCCGUAUUUCAAUUACAGCUCGACGAUUUACAUCUCCGGCAACUAUUUACACACAUGGCUAAUGGCUUGUUUCUCAUUCAUUUUCGUGUAACUUUAUCGGUUUUUCCGAUGUGUGUACAAAUGCAUACAAUAAGUACGAAUUCUCGUAAAAUUGUUUGUUUUGAUUCAUGCAAUUAGUGUGAAUAUAAGGAGUCAUUAACAUUUAUUACUGAUCCACCAAUCAAAACCUAGUACUAUUAGUUAACGAGUAUUGUGUGUCAUGGGCACACCAUUGAAAAUUCGUAACUAAUUUUAUUUCGAAAUGUUAUUUUCAUUUUUGUGCAUUUCAAAAAUAAUAAUUUAUAAUAAUAUAAAAUAAUAUCACACUUACUAAUUUCUUUCACAAUCUCUAUACUAAAAUAAUAUAAAACAUAAUAAAUUCAUUAUUUUCAUCCACGGUCUUAAUCUAUUAUUGAAUAUAAAUCAGUCUUUAUCACUUUACUAACUUUUCAGCUAACUUUAUUUAAAAAAAUUGUAUUUUCCUUGAUUUUAGUGUUCACACUCAAUAUAUAAUUCAACGGGAAUAGAAGGAAUCUUAAUUAAUUUGAACAAUUGAUUAACAUAAUUUUAGAAAUUGGGAAUCAGAACCAACGAACCAAUUAACUUGUUGAUUCAUGAUUUAUGAAAGGUCUAUCGCAGAUUUUUUUCGAUAAAUUGAAGUUUUUUAGUCGAAUAAAAUUGUAAUACGUAAAUUAGUAAAAUAAUUUUAAAAAUUAAUUAUAAAUUUUUCAAUAAAUCAAAAAAAUUUAGAUGUAAAUAUUAAUCACCGGAUUUUCUUUGUCCAAAUAUAUUAAAUGUAAUUUUUUUUUCAUUUUAAAUAUAGUUAGCCGAGAGGGUCACUUUGGUCGCUAGAAUAUCCAACCAAGUUCAAACUAAAACAUCAAUCAAUAUACUUAUAUAAAGGAGAAGCGAGGGGCGUGUAGGUGGCGCCUCUCACAUCGCUCCGUUCUAUUUUUCUAAUUUUCUGGAUUUUUUGCGAGGGGCGUGUAGGUGGCGCCUCUCACAUCGCUCCGUUCUAUUUUUCUAAUUUUCUGGAUUUUUUGGAUGAAAAAUAUCAAAAAUUAGAAUUACCUUUUAUAGUUUCGGAUAUAUUAGAAGUAAGUUUCAGAAUCUGAUUUUGUUUUAGAUUAUUUAUGGAAUAUAGUAACUUGUAGGUUUUAAUCUGGUUUUAAUCUAGAUUUUGUUUCGGAUAUAUUAGAAGCAAGUUUCAGAAUCUGAUUUUAUUUAAGAUUAUUUAUGAAAUAUAGUAGUAGCUUUGAAAGUUUUAAUCUGCUUUUGUUUCUACAUAAAGGAGAAGCGAGGGGCGUGUAGAUGGCGCCUCUCACAUCGUUCCGUUUUAUUUUUCUAAUUUUUUAAUUUUCUAGAAUUUUCGGAUGAAAAAUAUCAAAAAUUAGAACUACCGUUUUUAGUUUUGGAUAUAUUAGAAGCAAGUUUCAGAAUUUGAUUUUGUUUCAGAUUAUUUAUGGAAUAUAGCAGCUUGAAAUUUUUAAUUUGAUUUUGUUUCGAAAAAUAUCAAAAAUUAGAAAUACCUCUUUUAGUUUCGGAUAUAUUAGAAGCAAGUUUCAGAAUCUGCUUUUGUUUCUGAUUUUUUAUGGAAUAUAACAGCUUGAAAAUUUUAAUCUGAUUUUGUUUCAUAUUAUUUAAUCAUGGGAAAUAGUAGCACACAAGUCUCUCUGCACCUAUAAAUACCCCUAUAGGUUGUAGGGUUUUGGAUCAUCUAAACACAACUUACUCCCUCUCAAUACCACAACCAUACCUCUUUCGGUGGUGCCGUUCUUCUGCAACGAUAAUUGAAGGCUGUUUAUAUGAUUUUAAAAAAAAAUAAAGGUUGUUGCAAGCAAAGGUAGUUAUAGAUGAUAAGUGGUAUUUAUACACACUUAUAGGCCUUCAUUUCCGCUUAAAUUGGUUGGUUGUACUUAAGUGUUUAGUGUCUUUUGAUGUGUUUUUAUUGUUUUUCUGUGCAGGUCACGAGUUGAGGUGAUGAAGUGAUUUUCUAUCAUUUUAGGUUGGUUUUUGGUGCAUUAUUUGCAAGAAUAGAGAAUUGUGGAUUCAUCACGACUUGGGAUUUUGUGGGUACAUCUUCUACAAACCCUCACGAGAGCACACUCGUCCACUAGAGCUAUCUAGGGGUUUAAAGGGCUUGUUGCAUAUGCUAAAUGCAACCGUGAUCACCUACGGAAGUGGUACUAGAAGCGAGGAAGGACAUACACGCGAGAACGAGCGAGAAACGAAGAAACAGGGCCAACAGUGCAGACAGUAGCGCGCCCGCGCUACUUGUUAGCGCGCCCGCGCUACAGACUGCAACCACUAGCGCGCCUGCGCUAAGUUAGCGCGGCCGCGCCCAGCAGAACUUCCCCGGGCCGAUUUUUACAGCUUUUUAGUGGAUUUUCGCAGCGGUCGAGGC
rnacentral:lncRNA from 1 species